UACGUAGGCAGCAAGCGUUGUUCGGAGUUACUGGGCGUAAAGGGUGUGUAGGCGGUUCCUUAAGUUUGCUGUGAAAUCUCCCGGCUUAACCGGGAGGGUGCGGUGAAUACUGAGGGACUAGAGUACGGGAGAGGAAAGUGGGAAUUCCUGGUGUAGCGGUGAAAUGCGUAGAUAUCAGGAGGAACACCGGUGGUGUAGACGGCUUUCUGGACCGUAACUGACGCUGAGGCACGAAAGCGUGGGUAGCAAACAGG
rnacentral:rRNA from 1 species